UACGUAGGGUGCAAGCGUUAAUCGGAAUUACUGGGUUUAAAGGGUGCGUAGGUGGGUAGGUAAGUCAGUGGUGAAAUCUUCGAGCUUAACUCGGAAACUGCCAUUGAUACUAUUUAUCUUGAAUACUCUGGAGGUAAGCGGAAUAUGUCAUGUAGCGGUGAAAUGCUUAGAUAUGACAUAGAACACCAAUUGCGAAGGCAGCUUACUACAUAGUUAUUGACACUGAGGCACGAAAGCGUGGGGAUCAAACAGG
rnacentral:rRNA from 1 species